UAUGUAUUUACUUAUUAUGACAUUUAUAUCCCAUUUCUCCUCCAAGGGGUUUAAGCGGGCUUAUAUGCUUCUUCUCUCCAUUAUAUCCUCACAACAGCCUUGUAAGGUAGGCUAGACUGAGUGAUAGUGACUAGUCCGAGGUCACCCGGUAGGCUUCAUGGCCCAAUGGGAAUUUGAACCCCUGGUCGCUCAGUUCCUGGCCUGAAUAUCUAAUCACACUGGCUCUCAAAUUCUGUGAACAUCUUAGGUUACGUUUAACACACAAUCAGCUCUUAGGUUUUUAUCAUAGAUAAAAGUGAAAAUAUGCAGGACAAAUCUGAGCUGAUGCUUUUUGUUUUAGACACAUACCGUUUUAAAAUCGUGAAAAGUAAAGUAAAAUAAAAUAUUACACCCCCAAACAUCCCAGAAUCCCACUGGAUUAAUCUUAGCCUUAAUGGGGAAUCUACCAUACAUUAACAUAUAAUUCCUAGUACUGCUUUUACAGAUUAACAUCCACUAUCCAGAUUACAAUGAAGCAUGAACAGUGUUAAAAUUAGAGAUGCAUUUCCCAAUAAUGUUUUAGCUAUAAUAGAUUGUUCAGGCUACGUCUGAUUACUUUGUGGGAUUCGUUAUGGGAAGAAAUGACGAUCAGGGUUGUCAAUGUAAAAUAAAAAAAUGGAUAAAGUCCUUCUGAAACACCCCCCAACUGAAUUGUGUGUGUAAUAUUUUAGUAACUGGUUUUUUCCUGCAUUUUAGAGGACAACUAUUUCCCCAAGGUUUAAGCUUUUAAGCCCAAUAAACUUUUUUAAAACUCCAAAGUUUUAUAGCACAAUUAGAGGUUAGCUUUCAACUAUCCCAAGUCAUACAUCCACACCUCUGGGAAAGUGUCCUCUACAAGCCGUUUCAACAUGUCAUUCUGACACAUGACACUAUCAGAUAUGGUGCACCUAUAUGGCAAUUAUAAGCAAAAGCAGAAAGAGAACCCAAGACUAAAUCUCAAGGGGUGCAAUACUGUUUAGUUGUCUGGGCCCCUUUCCUGAUGCAUACCUCUGUCCCACCCCAUAGGUAUAUUUCCAUGAGUCACAAAAGGAACUCUGUUUUGAUUUUGAAAUUAGUUUUUCUGUUUCUAAAAUCGCACCAUGUACAACUUGGUGGGGCUUUUGUACCAUGUCCCCCAACACUUCCCCAUUUCCCUUUUUAAUUUAACAUAAUCAGACAGAACAGGAAUUCUACAAAGCUCGCAGAUUAUUUUGUUGCUUUCUUUUUGGUUAGUUCUAAUAAAGAUAUUAACCUGCCA